rnacentral:rRNA from 1 species
GACGAACGCUGGCGGCGUGCUUAACACAUGCAAGUCGAACGGUGAAGCGCGUGCUUGCACUCGUGGAUCAGUGGCGAACGGGUGAGUAACACGUGAGUAACCUGCCCAUCACUCUGGGAUAAGCACUGGAAACGGUGUCUAAUACUGGAUACGACCACCCCUUGCAUGGGGGGUGGGGGGAAAGAUUUGUCGGUGAUGGAUGGACUCGCGGCCUAUCAGCUUGUUGGCGGGGUAAUGGCCAACCAAGGCGACGACGGGUAGCCGGCCUGAGAGGGUGACCGGCCACACUGGGACUGAGAUACGGCCCAGACUCCUACGGGAGGCAGCAGUGGGGAAUAUUGCACAAUGGGCGAAAGCCUGAUGCAGCGACGCCGCGUGAGGGAUGACGGCCUUCGGGUUGUAAACCGCUUUCAGCAGGGAAGAAGCGAAAGUGACGGUACCUGCAGAAGAAGCACCGGCUAACUACGUG